rnacentral:lncRNA from 1 species
UUAUUAUGAAAUUUAUUGUUCAUACAGAAUAUUCAGAGAGGAUUCCUCAGUAAUAAACACACACAAACACAGUGAGAGAGAGAGGAGAUCACAGAGACUCCCUCAGUAAUAAACACACACAACAGGACAGGAGACACAGUGAGAGAGAGAGGAGAUCACAGAGACUCCCUCAGUAAUAAACACACACAACAGGACAGGAGACACAGUGAGAGAGAGAGAGGAGAUCACAGAGAAUCGUUCAGUAAUAAACACAACAGGACAGGAGACACAGUGAGAGAGGAGAUCACAGAGUAAUAAAAACAUACAAGAGUAUAGUUAAGGCAUGAAGUUCUUAACCACGUGAUUCUCUGUGCUCCUAAUCUGCAGUUCCAAAAUACUCCUCUAGGUGUCUCUGUAGGCGUUAUAUACUCAGGCACUAGGCAAUAAAC